GAGGUUGAUCAAGCAUAUUCAAAACUUGAGAAAGAUUUUUGUUGAGAGGAACCCAUCCGUGAUUCAAGGCUUGUACAAUGGCUAAAGAUGGAUAUUGGGCAUGUGCUCGUUUAGGCGAGGAUGGAUAUAUCAC